GGGGGCGAUCGGCUUCGACGGGGAGAAAGAAGGAACGGUUGCGUGCACGCCGACCUGGGCAAGGCGCAAAAACGCCCAGGACGUACAACUGCCAACGAUAACGCAGUCGCUCUCGCGGCCUAAGGGUCGAUAGAGGGCCGUCGAAACGAAGAGGCCGCCUGUGCUCUUCGUGGAGGCGUCAUUUGAACAGGCUAGCUCACGAGGCCUCGUAGCGGGCGCGUGAGCGAAGCCUUCGCUACUAGCGACGCGGAGAGCCUGCUCAUGGGCGCGACGCGAAGCGAACCUUCAAGUCCAUGAGCUACGCACGUAGACGCCGCGCUGGAAGCUCUCCGGACCCGGGUUCGAUUCCCGGCGCCUCCACCA
rnacentral:tmRNA from 1 species